CAUCAAAACCGCGUAGCUCCGCCUCCUCCCCCUCCGCUGAAAUAAAAAUGAAGGCAUGGGGAACAUCACACCUUGUGUCCAGAGGGGCCAGUUUUGCUCAGAUCCUUAAAAAGAACAUUGUGGCACCAACCACUUUUUCCCCUAUAGUCCAGCAGCCUACUUCUGAAUUCUGCAAAACCAGCAGCAGCCCACUGGACCAACCAUGCAACUCCCCAGGGAAAACAGGAUCCAAACCAAAAAACAUUCCCAAAGAGCUGAUUGACCGGUACAGACGAGAAGAGACUCAUGCAGUUUCUUUCCUUUAUCAGCUCUCACAAGUGCUACAGUUCCAAUUGGAGAUGAAGGAGACAGUUACUACAGGAGGAAUAACAGGGUUCUAUUUUGCAUUUUGUGCUGUGAUCGAUGGAGUGGAAUAUAAGACUGGAAUGGGCGUUAAUAAAAAAGAGGCCAAGGCUAAAGCAGCUCAAUUUGCAGUGGAGGAGCUACUGUCCAAUCUGGACAAUGAUUGUGUCCUGCCUGAUGCUUCUGAGGGACCCCCUCUUUUACCAGUAAAGGAUCGGGAUUCUUUAGUUUCAGAUGUCCAUCCAGGAAGGGCUCCAUUUGAAAGAAAAAAUCCUAUUAAUGACCAGGUGCCUAGUGUCAUUAAGGAGAUGUUUUCGAAGCUGAUGGAUAGCUACCCAGAGUUCUCUGGCUGUGGUGGAACUCUAGCUGCCUUUGUUACUCAGUCUCCGACUUGGUUUGAGGUAGUGGCUCUUGGUACUGGCAAUUCCAACACUAAAUUGAGCCUGUCACCCAACGGACGCAUCCUUCAUGAUUCCCACGCAGUUGUGACUGCACGAAGAUCACUAAUGAGGUAUCUGUACAGGCACCUGUUAUUGUUCUACAGUAAGAAUCGUGCUCUGGAAGAAAAGUCAGUUUUUCAGCUGGAUGAGACUACUAAACUCCUAACAUUGAAGAGUCACAUCACGCUGCACCUGUACCUCAAUCAGCUACCCAAAGGAGCUGCCCAAAUACCUUCUUACCUUCGUUUGAACCCUUUGUCAAUCUCAGCUUGGGAAGUAAAUAAUCAAAUUGGUCUGCAUGUAAUGAUAGAUGGAAUGGUCUUUUCCGUGUUCUCCUCUACAUUUGAGCAGAGUGGUUCUCGUGUCGUCAGCAUGUCGGCUAGUGACAAGAUCACCCAGUGGCAGGUGGUGGGAUUUCAAGGUGCUCUACUGAGUCACUUCAUCGAGCCCAUCUAUGUCAGUAGCAUUCUCAUAGGUGAUGAGAGCUGCAAUGAUAUUCGUGGUAUGGAGGUUGCAUUGAAUCAAAGAGUCGAUGGUAUCACUUCCAAGCUGCCCAUGUAUUACUGUGUGUACCGGCCACAAAUUAGCCUGGUGGCCUCUGUAAUCCCUACAGAUGCCCAUGGCAGCCAAAAGAAUCUCAGCCUCAACUGGUGCCAGGGUGAUGUUUCCCUUGAGGUUGUGGAUAGUGUGGAGGGCAAGUCUGUGGAGGAGUCUCCGUUUAAGAGUGGCCCGGCUCUUGCAAGUCGUCUUUGCAAGGCUGCAAUGUUGAGUCGCUUUAACUUAGUUGCAAAAGAGGCACAAAGAGAGGCACUGCUUUCUGCUGUUUCCUACCGGGAGGCAAAGAUGAUGGCAAAACCAUACCAGGAGGCAAAAAGUGUCUUAAAGUCGUAUUUCGCCAUGAAGGGCUUUGGCCAUUGGGUGGAGAAACCACCAAUUAGUGACCACUUUGCAAUGUAAGAGCCAGUUUACAGAUGACGUUGUCAUCUGGGAAAGACGUCAGAAGACAGACAAAGGGCGGCACGGUGGCUAAGUGGGUAGCACUGUCACCUCACAGCAAGAAGGUCCCCAGGAGGGGCGGUCCGGGUCCUUUCUGUGUGGAGUUUGCAUGUUCUCCCCGUCUCUGCAUGGGUUUCCUCCGGGAGCUCGAGUUUCCUCCCACAUUCCAAAGACAUACAAGUGAGGUGAAUUGGAGACACUAAAUUGUCCAUGACUGUGUUUGAUAUAACCUUGUGAACUGAUGAAUCCUGAGUAAUGAGUAACUAUCAUUUCUGUCAUGAAUGUAACCAAAGUGUAAAA